rnacentral:lncRNA from 1 species
UUUAUAUAUUAUACUUUUAUAUACUUUAUUCUGUUCAAAAUAUUUUCUAAUUAUCCUGGUAAUUUUUUAUUUGAUCUAUGAGUUAUUUAUAAGUGUAUUGUUUAAGUUUGAAGUAUUCAGGGCUUUUCUAGCAAUUAGUGACGUCUUUUCAUUCUGGCUUCCCUAGCUCUGAACCCUAUAACAUGUGAUCUUUGCAGGGCCCUGGGUAAUCUUGUCUUGCAGUCCAACUAUGGUAGCCUGACUUCUAAGGUGGCUCUCAAUGGUCCUUCCACCUCCUGAUCUACAUGCCCUUACAGAAAGAAUCCUUUCCCUUUGAGUAUGGGCUGGACCUAACGACUUGUUUCUAAUCAACAGAAUACAACAAAGGUAAUAGCAUAUUGCUUCUGUAAUUAGGUUAUAACAUAUCAUCGCUUCUGUUUUGCUAGCAGACUUGUUGGCUUUGAUGAGCAAGCUGCCAUGUUGAAGAAGCCUAUAUGGCAAGGAACUGAGGGUAGCCUCAAGCCAACAGCUAACAAGGAACAAGCACUUAGUCCAACAGCCCUCAAGGAACUGAAUCUUUCCAACAAUAAGAAAGUGAAUUUGGAAGAGAAUCCUCCCCAGUUGAGCUUUCAGUUGGACACAAAAUUCCUGACUACUCAACAAUCAGCUCUCAAGACUCCAGCAUACUGCGAUGGCCUCAAGAGGUUUUGGUAUGCCAUCCUGAGAGGAAAAUGUCUCAAACAUCCUUUGCUACUCUAAGUGUGAUUCCUGGACAAGAAAUACCAGCAUUACCUCGGAACUUGUUAGAAAUGCAAAAUAUCAGGCCCAAAUCCAGAGGUAAGGAGUUACCACCUGCAGUAUAACAAGACACCCAGGUGAUUCUAUGGAUCUAAAGACUGAGAAUUGUUGUUUUAAGCUAGAGUGAACAGGAGUGUAUAGUUUGAAAAUGCUUUUUUAUAGUUAUUUACAUGUUUUUUGAAAACAGCAUUACUGAGCUAUAUUUCACAUACCAAACAAUUCACCCACUUAAAGUGUGUUAUUCAGUGGUUUUUAAUAUAUUCAGAGUUGUGCAAUCAUCACCACAGUCCAUUUUAGAACACUUUCAUCUCCCCAACAAGAAAUCCAAUAGCCACAGCUGUUAUUCUCCAUUUCCCCUUCAUCCCUAGGAAACUGCUAAUUUACUUUCUGUCUCUAUGGAUUUGCCUGUCCAAGACAUUCCAUCCAUAUAAAUGGAAUCAUACAAUAUGUGGUGUUUUGUG